rnacentral:rRNA from 1 species
GAUGAACGCUGGCGGCGUGCUUAACACAUGCAAGUCGAACGGGAAUUAUUUUAUUGACACUUCGGUCGAUUUAAUGUAAUUCUAGUGGCGGACGGGGGAGUAACGCGUGGGUAACCUGCCUUAUACAGGGGGAUAACAGUCAGAAAUGGCUGCUAAUACCGCAUAAGCGCACAGAGCUGCAUGGCUCAGUGUGAAAAACUCCGGUGGUAUAAGAUGGACCCGCGUUGGAUUAGCUUGUUGGCAGGGUAACGGCCUACCAAGGCGACGAUACAUAGCCGGCCUGGGAGGGUGAACGGCCACAUUGGGACUGAGCCACGGCCCAGACUCCUACGGGAGGCAGCAGUGGGGAAUAUUGCACAAUGGGGGCAACCCUGAUGCAGCGACGCCGCGUGAAGGAAGAAGUAUGUCGGUAUGUAAACUUCUAUCAGCAGGGAAGAUAGUGACGGUACCUGACGAAGAAGCCCCGGCUAACUACGUG